UACGUAGGGAGCGAGCGUUGUCCGGAAUUACUGGGCGUAAAGGGCGCGUAGGCGGCCUGACAAGCUGUAUGUGAAAGACCAGGGCUUAACCGUGGGGGUGCAUACAAAACUGUCGGGCUUGAGUGUGGUAGAGGAUAGCGGAAAUCCUAGUGUAGCGGUGAAAUGCGUAGAUAUUAGGAGGAACACCAGUGGCGAAGGCGGCUAUCUGGGCCACAACUGACGCUGAGGCGCGAAAGCGUGGGGAGCAAAC
rnacentral:rRNA from 1 species